rnacentral:rRNA from 1 species
AUUGAACGCUGGCGGCAGGCCUAACACAUGCAAGUCGAACGGUAACAGGAAGAAGCUUGCUUCUUUGCUGACGAGUGGCGGACGGGUGAGUAAUGUCUGGGAAACUGCCUGAUGGAGGGGGAUAACUACUGGAAACGGUAGCUAAUACCGCAUAACGUCGCAAGACCAAAGAGGGGGACCUUCGGGCCUCUUGCCAUCGGAUGUGCCCAGAUGGGAUUAGCUAGUAGGUGGGGUAACGGCUCACCUAGGCGACGAUCCCUAGCUGGUCUGAGAGGAUGACCAGCCACACUGGAACUGAGACACGGUCCAGACUCCUACGGGAGGCAGCAGUGGGGAAUAUUGGACAAUGGGCGCAAGCCUGAUGCAGCCAUGCCGCGUGUAUGAAGAAGGCCUUCGGGUUGUAAAGUACUUUCAGCGGGGAGGAAGAGAGUAAAGUUAAUACCUUUGCUCAUUGACGUUACCCGCAGAAGAAGCACCGGCUAACUCCGUG